rnacentral:rRNA from 1 species
CUGCCUACGGGGGGCAGCAGUGGGGAAUAUUGCACAAUGGGGGAAACCCUGAUGCAGCAACGCCGCGUGAAGGAAGACGGUUUUCGGAUUGUAAACUUCUUUUCUUAGUGAAGAAGCAAGUGACGGUACCUGACCAAGAAGCCCCGGUUAACUACGUGCCAGCAGCCGCGGUAAUACGUAGGGGGCAAGCGUUAUCCGGAUUUACUGGGUGUAAAGGGGGCGCAGACGGCGAUGCAAGCCAGGAGUGAAAGCCCGGGGCCCAACCCCGGGACUGCUCUUGGAACUGCGUGGCUGGAGUGCAGGAG